rnacentral:rRNA from 1 species
UACAGAGGGUGCGAGCGUUAAUCGGAUUUACUGGGCGUAAAGCGUGCGUAGGCGGCUAAUUAAGUCGGAUGUGAAAUCCCCGAGCUCAACUUGGGAAUUGCAUUCGAUACUGGUUAGCUAGAGUAUGGGAGAGGAUGGUAGAAUUCCAGGUGUAGCGGUGAAAUGCGUAGAGAUCUGGAGGAAUACCGAUGGCGAAGGCAGCCAUCUGGCCUAAUACUGACGCUGAGGUACGAAAGCGUAGGGAGCAAAUAGG